rnacentral:tRNA from 1 species
GGGCGUAUAGCUCAGUGGUAGAGUGCAUGCUUGACAUGCACGAGGCCCUAGGUUUAAUCCCCAGUGCCUCCA